rnacentral:lncRNA from 7 species
UAUCAUUUGUAGUUGGCAGCUGCAUUGAGCUCUUUGGGGAAGUGGAGAAUGGACCUGGACUGUUGGAAGAACGGAACAGUGGGCUACACUCUUAACAAAUGUGAUUCAUGCAUAUGCUGUCCUCUUUUUGAAUAGAUCCCAUGAGAUUCUGCACUGGAGACAGAUAUUACAACAGUAUUAUGCUUCUAUGGCAGUUCUUUAUCAUUUGUGGUUCUGAUUGAUUGUGUUGUUCUUAUAUACUUCAGUCUGAGACAGCUGCAGUAAAGAGUUUCAGGUGGCUGACUGACUGUGAGGAAGGGCAUUUCACGUGCAAAAUGGUUCUCUUUGUGAUGAUGUGAAUGGCCAUUUAAGCUUUACAAAUUAUUACGUGUAGUGUGCAUUAAAAUAGACUGGUAAAUGAUGUAGUUUUGUGUGCACAGAUUGCAUAUAGAUUUCCUAUGCAGCACCUCUGUUCAACCACUAUAAUUAAUAUCCUUUUUAUUUGGAUAAAGUAAUUUUCUGCUGUUAUUCUGUCAAAGCAAUGCUUUCUACUAAUGCUAAUGGAUUUUUUUCAUGGAUAUGCAAGUAUGCAUACAAGGGGUUAUUAAACACGUUUUCCUCCCUAAAAACCAUCUAUCUGUGAAAAUAAUGUAGUAAGUGUGAGCUUUUUCUUAAUCAUUAAAACCACUAAAAACUAAUGAGCAUAAUGAAAGACCAUCUGAGGGUGAAUAUGUAUGGUUUCUGUGCUGGAAAAUUGAAUGAAAGGAGAAAUGUCACUAAAAAGAUCAAUUUUAUACUUACGUAAAAAUAAAAUUCAUAACUU